UACGAAGGGGGCUAGCGUUGUUCGGAAUCACUGGGCGUAAAGGGCGCGUAGGCGGCUAUUCAAGUCGGGGGUGAAAGCCUGUGGCUCAACCACAGAAUUGCCUUCGAUACUGUUUGGCUUGAGACCGGAAGAGGUAAGUGGAACUGCGAGUGUAGAGGUGAAAUUCGUAGAUAUUCGCAAGAACACCAGUGGCGAAGGCGGCUUACUGGUCCGGUUCUGACGCUGAGGCGCGAAAGCUAGGGGAGCAAACGGG
rnacentral:rRNA from 1 species